GGUUAAGUUAGAAAGGGCGCACGGUGGAUGCCUUGGCACUAGGAGCCGAUGAAGGACGGGACGAACACCGAUAUGCUUCGGGGAGCUGUAAGCAAGCUUUGAUCCGGAGAUUUCCGAAUGGGGAAACCCACCACUCGUAAUGGAGUGGUAUCCAUAUCUGAAUACAUAGGAUAUGAGAAGGCAGACCCGGGGAACUGAAACAUCUAAGUACCCGGAGGAAGAGAAAGCAAAUGCGAUUCCCUGAGUAGCGGCGAGCGAAACGGGACCAGCCCAAACCAAGAGGCUUGCCUCUUGGGGUUGUAGGACACUCUGUACGGAGUUACAAAGGAACGAGGUAGAUGAAGAGGUCUGGAAAGGCCCGCCAUAGAAGGUAACAGCCCUGUAGUCAAAACUUCGUUCUCUCCUGAGUGGAUCCUGAGUACGGCGGAACACGUGAAAUUCCGUCGGAAUCCGGGAGGACCAUCUCCCAAGGCUAAAUACUCCCUAGUGACCGAUAGUGAACCAGUACCGUGAGGGAAAGGUGAAAAGCACCCCGGAAGGGGAGUGAAAGAGAUCCUGAAACCGUGUGCCUACAAGUAGUCAGAGCCCGUUAACGGGUGAUGGCGUGCCUUUUGUAGAAUGAACCGGCGAGUUACGAUCCCGUGCAAGGUUAAGCAGAAGAUGCGGAGCCGCAGCGAAAGCGAGUCUGAAUAGGGCGAAUUGAGUACGUGGUCGUAGACCCGAAACCAGGUGAUCUACCCAUGUCCAGGGUGAAGUUCAGGUAACACUGAAUGGAGGCCCGAACCCACGCACGUUGAAAAGUGCGGGGAUGAGGUGUGGGUAGGGGUGAAAUGCCAAUCGAACCUGGAGAUAGCUGGUUCUCUCCGAAAUAGCUUUAGGGCUAGCCUCAAGGUAAGAGUCUCGGAGGUAGAGCACUGAUUGGACUAGGGGCCCCUACCGGGUUACCGAAUUCAGUCAAACUCCGAAUGCCGAUGACUUAUCCUUGGGAGUCAGACUGCGAGUGAUAAGAUCCGUAGUCGAAAGGGAAACAGCCCAGACCGCCAGCUAAGGUCCCAAAGUAUACGUUAAGUGGAAAAGGAUGUGGAGUUGCUUAGACAACCAGGAUGUUGGCUUAGAAGCAGCCACCAUUUAAAGAGUGCGUAAUAGCUCACUGGUCGAGUGACUCUGCGCCGAAAAUGUACCGGGGCUAAACGUAUCACCGAAGCUGCGGACUGUUCUUCGAACAGUGGUAGGAGAGCGUUCUAAGGGCUGUGAAGCAAGACCGGAAGGACUUGUGGAGCGCUUAGAAGUGAGAAUGCCGGUAUGAGUAGCGAAAGAGGGGUGAGAAUCCCCUCCACCGAAUGCCUAAGGUUUCCUGAGGAAGGCUCGUCCGCUCAGGGUUAGUCGGGACCUAAGCCGAGGCCGAAAGGCGUAGGCGAUGGAUAACAGGUUGAUAUUCCUGUACCACCUCCUCACCAUUUGAGCAAUGGGGGGACGCAGGAGGAUAGGGUAAGCGCGGUAUUGGAUAUCCGCGUCCAAGCAGUUAGGCUGGGAAAUAGGCAAAUCCGUUUCCCGUGAAGGCUGAGCUGUGAUGGCGAGCGAAUUAUAGUAGCGAAGUUCCUGAUUCCACACUGCCAAGAAAAGCCUCUAGCGAGGUGAGAGGUGCCCGUACCGCAAACCGACACAGGUAGGCGAGGAGAGAAUCCUAAGGUGAUCGAGAGAACUCUCGUUAAGGAACUCGGCAAAAUGACCCCGUAACUUCGGGAGAAGGGGUGCUCUGUUAGGGUGCAAGCCCGAGAGAGCCGCAGUGAAUAGGCCCAGGCGACUGUUUAGCAAAAACACAGGUCUCUGCGAAGCCGUAAGGCGAAGUAUAGGGGCUGACGCCUGCCCGGUGCUGGAAGGUUAAGAGGAGCGCUUAGCGUAAGCGAAGGUGCGAAUUGAAGCCCCAGUAAACGGCGGCCGUAACUAUAACGGUCCUAAGGUAGCGAAAUUCCUUGUCGGGUAAGUUCCGACCCGCACGAAAGGCGCAACGAUCUGGGCACUGUCUCAACGAGAGACUCGGUGAAAUUAUAGUACCUGUGAAGAUGCAGGUUACCCGCGACAGGACGGAAAGACCCCGUGGAGCUUUACUGCAGCCUGAUAUUGAAUGUUGGUACAGCUUGUACAGGAUAGGUAGGAGCCUUGGAAACCGGAGCGCCAGCUUCGGUGGAGGCAUCGGUGGGAUACUACCCUGGCUGUAUUGACCUUCUAACCCGCCGCCCUUAUCGGGCGGGGAGACAGUGUCAGGUGGGCAGUUUGACUGGGGCGGUCGCCUCCUAAAAGGUAACGGAGGCGCCCAAAGGUUCCCUCAGAAUGGUUGGAAAUCAUUCGCAGAGUGUAAAGGCACAAGGGAGCUUGACUGCGAGACCUACAAGUCGAGCAGGGACGAAAGUCGGGCUUAGUGAUCCGGUGGUUCCGCAUGGAAGGGCCAUCGCUCAACGGAUAAAAGCUACCCCGGGGAUAACAGGCUUAUCUCCCCCAAGAGUCCACAUCGACGGGGAGGUUUGGCACCUCGAUGUCGGCUCAUCGCAUCCUGGGGCUGUAGUCGGUCCCAAGGGUUGGGCUGUUCGCCCAUUAAAGCGGUACGCGAGCUGGGUUCAGAACGUCGUGAGACAGUUCGGUCCCUAUCCGUCGCGGGCGCAGGAAAUUUGAGAGGAGCUGUCCUUAGUACGAGAGGACCGGGAUGGACGCACCGCUGGUGUACCAGUUGUUCUGCCAAGGGCAUCGCUGGGUAGCUAUGUGCGGACGGGAUAAGUGCUGAAAGCAUCUAAGCAUGAAGCCCCCCUCAAGAUGAGAUUUCCCAUUCCGCAAGGAAGUAAGAUCCCUGAAAGAUGAUCAGGUUGAUAGGUCUGAGGUGGAAGUGUGGCGACACAUGGAGCUGACAGAUACUAAUCGAUCGAGGACUUAACCAAUCG
rnacentral:rRNA from 1 species